rnacentral:rRNA from 1 species
UACGUAGGGGGCAAGCGUUGUCCGGAUUUAUUGGGCGUAAAAGGCUUGUAGGUGGCCACGCCAAGUCGGAUGUGAAAUCUCCCGGCUCAACUGGGAGGGGUCAUUCGAUACUGGCGGGCUCGAGGCCGGUAGGGGGAAGUGGAAUUCCCGGUGUAGUGGUGGAAUGCGUAGAUAUCGGGAGGAGCACCAGUGGCGAAGGCGGCUUCCUGGACCGGUUCUGACACUGAGGAGCGAAAGCGUGGGGAGCGAUCCGG